rnacentral:misc_RNA from 1 species
CAUUUUCACAUUUGUCUACGAGCGCCGCGGCGACACCUGAAGAAAACUAAUACGCCUUCCUGCUUACUAAUUUAGAGGAAGGAUUUCUAGAAAACCUCUUAAUUCUAAGAGUAUGGCAAAUUUAAAACAGGACACUGCUGACUUGACCGAAACUGGACUGUCUGGACAGGAAUUACAAUUCUUGGCUGUCGACAAUAGGGGAGUGGUGAAUAAUCCAACCAUCCAAGCUUCUUGGGCAGCGAAAAAGUUAUUAUGGGUACCACACAAGACGCAAGGAUUUGUGCAGGCUUCGGUAGAUGACGACAGUGAUCCAGAAAAAGUGAUUGUAGUAAUACAGGAAAAUGGUCAAAGAGUGAAGGUAAACAAGGAUGACACCCAAAGGAUGAAUCCACCAAAAUUUGACAAAGUAGAAGAUAUGGCUGAGUUAACUUGUUUAAAUGAAGCUUCCGUUCUCCACAAUCUUAAGGAACGAUAUUAUUCUGGUCUUAUCUAUACCUACUCGGGCUUGUUCUGCGUUGUUAUCAAUCCGUACAAAAGCUAUCCGAUUUAUUCGGGUAAAGUUGUGGAGCUGUACAAAGGAAGAAAACGCCAUGAAGUUCCUCCUCACAUCUUCGCCAUUACCGAUGCUGCUUAUCGCUCCAUGUUACAGGAUAGAGAGGACCAGAGUAUCCUCUGCACUGGAGAAUCUGGAGCUGGUAAAACUGAAAACACCAAAAAGGUUAUUCAAUAUUUGGCUCAUGUUGCUGCCUCCUUGAAAUCUCAGAAGCAAACAGCCUCUAAUAUUAUAGAUCAAAUGAAGGUAAGUCACAUUUGUCUAAUACUUAGUAAAAGUUAAGCUCAUGAGUACGAGAUAUCUUCAGAGUGAGGGAAACAUUUUUGAAAAGGUAAACAAAUAAAACUAUGAAUCAAGCUAAAUUUUGCUACCUCCGCAUAUGACUUAUUGUUAUAAUUAUACUGAUAUAAAGCUGCAUGUUAAUUCUAUCCCUAUAUUAUUCUUAAUGCAUUUUGUUACGAUUGACAGUAUAAGGAUAUUAAUUUGGUAAGUAUUGGUUUCUGGUGUGGCUUUGAAGUGUCUAUUUCCUUGAUGUUAAAACCCAUCCUAAACGCAAUUAAUUCUCUAUCGCUUAUGGUUUGCUGUGGUGGUUUAAAGUAACCAAACAAACUAUUUGUUUAGUAGCUUAUCUUUAUUGUUCAUUUGUUGAAUAGCUAUAUAGGCUAACAUAUAUUAAUUUAUCGUUUUACUAUUUAAUUAUAACUCCACAAUUAUAUCUAGUAAACAAUCCCUUUCCAUCAUUUAACAUUAUAAAUAAUAUAUUUAAUAUAUAUAUAAUAGAAUAAAUUAGAGGGCUUUUCAUAUAAAACCUUAUCAAGAAAUCCGAUAACAGAAUAAGCUUAUACCAAUUUUUUAGUAUAUAUAUAUACGGAUAUUGUCGCCGCCACGUUAUCCUGACUUUAUUAUAAAUUGCACUUUAGAAGGAAGUAUGCGCGCUAUGCAUUUAACAAGCCUAGUAUAAUACAACAGUUGCGUAUUAUUAAUAACGAAUUGGUUUUAUACUAUUCUUUGGACCUGCGCCAAUUGAAAAAUCUUUUUUUAGUAAUAAAAUAGCGUGUGGCAUAAAUAAGUAGAGGCAGUCUAACAUAUUUGGCUACCUCUUGAGAAUUUAGAUAUAUUUUAAGUUCAAACAUUUGUUGUCCUUGCAUGCAAUUUCAAUUUAUUAAAAAGUAAUUUGACAGUAAACAUGAUAAAUCUUUUUAAAGGGAGAACUAGAAAAUCAACUGCUGGAGGCUAAUCCAAUUCUUGAAGCCUUCGGAAAUGCCAAAACAGUUAAAAAUGACAACUCCUCUCGUUUUGGUAAAUUUAUACGCAUCAAUUUUGAUACCUCUGGCUUCAUAUCUGGAGCUAACAUUGAGACCUAUUUACUGGAAAAAUCACGAGCUGUUCGUCAAGCUCCUGAUGAGAGAAGCUUCCACAUAUUUUACCAGUUACUUGCCGGCUGUAAAGAUCCGGAGCAGAGAAGCCAGCUACUAUUACAAGACAUAAAAGAAUAUAGAUAUUUAACUUAUGGUCAAGUACCCGUUCCAGGAACUGAUGAUAUUGAUAUGUAUAAACAGCUCUUAGAUGCUAUGAAUAUCAUGGGAUUUGUGGAAGAAGAAAUACUAGCAGUUUUGAAAACAAUUUCCGCAGUAUUGCAAUUAGGAAACAUUAAAAUAAAGGCGGAUGCACGCCAGGAACAAGCAACUCUUCCAGAUAAUACUGUUGCACAAAAAGCUUGCCAUCUUCUAGGAGUUCCCGUAACGGAAAUGACUAGAGCAUUCCUCAGACCAAGAAUACGCGUGGGAAGAGAGUACGUUAAUAAAGCGCAAACAAAGGAACAAGUCGAAUUUGCAGUAGAAGCUAUCAGCAAGGCCAUAUAUGAAAGAAUGUUUAAGUGGUUGGUUCAAAGAAUUAACAAAUCUCUUGAUAGGACCAAACGACAAGGAGCAUCAUUCAUUGGUAUUUUAGACAUAGCCGGAUUUGAAAUUUUUCAUUUGAAUUCCUUUGAACAACUUUGCAUCAACUAUACCAAUGAGAAGUUGCAACAGCUGUUUAACCACACUAUGUUCAUUAUGGAGCAAGAAGAAUACAAACGCGAAGGCAUCGAAUGGACAUUCAUUGAUUUUGGAUUAGAUCUUCAACCAACCAUUGACCUCCUUGAAAAACCUGUUGGUAUUUUGUCUCUCAUAGAUGAAGAGUGCUGGUUUCCAAAGGCAAACGAUAAAACUUUGAUAAAUAAAUUAAUUCAACAACAUUCUAAUCAUCCAAAAUUCAAAAAACCAGAAGCUUUGAGGAAAAAUAAUAUUUCCUUUACUCUUAGACAUUACGCUGGUGAUGUAGAUUAUUCGUGCGAUCAAUGGCUUUUGAAAAAUAUGGACCCCUUGAAUGAAAAUGUUGUACAGCUACUUCAAGAAUCAAAUGAUACUUUCAUUAAAAAUAUUUGGAAAGACGCAGAAAUUAUAGGAAUGAGUAAUAUGGCAUCAGCAGAAUCUCAGUUUGGUGCAAGAACGCGUAAGGGAAUGUUUAGAACUGUUGGUGGAUUGUAUAAGGAGCAGCUUUCGAGGUUAAUGUCCACAUUAAACAAUACCAAUCCAAAUUUUGUUCGUUGUAUCAUUCCAAAUCACGAGAAGAAGGCUGGAAAAAUAGAUGCUCAUUUGGUCUUGGAUCAAUUAAGAUGUAAUGGUGUGUUGGAGGGAAUAAGAAUUUGUCGACAAGGGUUUCCAAAUCGAAUACUCUUUCAGGAAUUUAGACAACGAUAUGAAUUGCUUACUCCUAACGUUAUUCCUCGUGGAUUUAUGGAUGGGAAAGAAGCUUGCAGACGAAUGUUACAAUCUUUGGAACUUGAUACUAAUUUAUUCCGUAUUGGGCAAUCUAAAAUCUUCUUCAGAGCGGGUGUUUUAGCUCAUCUUGAAGAGGAAAGAGAUUUGCGUUUGACAGAUUUGAUAAUACAGUUUCAAGCGUACUGCCGAGGAUGUCUUGCUCGUCGACAGUUGAAUAAGAGGCAACAACAAUUAAAUGCACUCAAGGUAAUUCAAAGAAAUUGUGCAGCAUAUUUGAAACUGAGAAACUGGCAAUGGUGGCGACUCUUUACGAAAGUUAAGCCUAUUUUACAAGCUACUAAACAUGAAGAGGUACUACAAAACAUGGAAACAAAGUAUAAAGACGCAUCUCGAAUGUUGGAAAAUGCAGAACGAGAUGUAACCGUAAUGCGAGACCAGGUUGCUCAGUUAGCAGAGGAAAAGAACAUCCUUAGUGAAAAACUUCGUCAAGAAGCUGAGACAGCACAAGAAGCAGAUGAAGAACGUCUUCGUUUGCAAGAACGAAAAAAAGAGCUGGAAGAUAUGUUAACUGAUAUGGGAACUAGAUGUGAAGAAGAAGUCCAAAGAAUAGAGGAAGUUUCAAGAGAGAAAAACAAGCUUCAAGGUUUAUUAAAAGACUUGGAAGAUCAAUUAGAGGAUGAAGAACAAAUGAGGCAAAAAAUACAAAUGGAAAAAAUGCAAAUGGAAACUAAAUUGAAAAAAUUUGAAGAAACUUCGGCUAUGCUUGAAGACACUUUACAGAGAACUGCAAAAGAGAAAAAGACUUUGGAGGAGAGAGUAAACGAUUUAACUCAGUCACUUGGGGAGGAGGAAGAAAAAGGAAAAGGGUUGGGACGGCUAAAGACAAAAUAUGAGAAUACUAUUAAAGAUUUGGAAGAUAGGCUUAGGAAGGAGCAAGAGUUGAGAGUUAAUUUAGAAAAAGCUAAAAGACGACUAGAACAGGAAUUAGUAGAAGUAAAAGACCAACUAAACGAAAAAAUGGAGCAGCUCACAGAAUUACAAACUCAAUUAAGCAAAAGAGAAAAUGAGUUACAAAAUGCUUUAACCCAAAUUGAAGAAGAAGUAACAGGGAGAACAUCCAUGCAAAGGCAAAUAAGAGAUCUCGAAGCUCAAAUUACUGAAGCCCAUGAAGAUUUAAAAGAAGAGCGUGAAAAGAGAAAGCGUGUCGAUCAUCAACGAAAAGAAUUGGAAAAUGAUUUUGAAAAAAUGAAAAAUGAAUUGGAGGAGACCCAAGAUCAUAAUCAGGCAGUUCACGACCUGCAGAGAAAACGGGAUGACGAAUUGAAGAAAACUAUACAUGCUAUAGAAGACGAAAAAAAAUCGGCAGAUAGAACAAUUGCUGCUCUAAAACAAAAAAACCUUCAACAAGUAGAACAACUAAAUGAGCAGUUAGACCAAGUGAGAAAACAAAAGGGAACUUUGGAGAAGACUCGAGUUACUUUAGAGGCCGAAAAUAGCGAUUUAAUGAAUGAAAAUAAACUACUACAGAGUGCCAAAUCAGAAGCAGAUAGGAAACGAAAAAUUGCUGAAUCUAGUAAUGCUGAUUAUCAGCUGCGUCUAAAUGAAGCCGAAGGCGAAAGAAAUGAUUUACAAGAAAGAUCCAGUAAAUUACUGUUAGAAAUUGAUAGUUACAGCCAACAACUAGCAGCAGCUGAAUCUUUGCUUGCCCAAUCCAAGAAGCAGGUGGAAUUUCUUGAAGGCCAAUUGCAUGACAAUCAAGCCAAUCUUGAAGACGAAACUAGGGGAAAACUCUCGUUUCAAAAUCAACUCAGAACUCUGGAGAGAGAAAACGACAAUCUUAAUGAUCAAAUUGUAGAGUUAGAAGAGCUGAAAGGAAAAUACGAAGCAAAACUGAAUGAAAGAGAGAGAAAAGAAGCUGAUCUAAAGAGAAAUCUAGAGGCUGAAUCAUUAGCCGCUAAAACAGCAGAAGAAUCCAAAUCAAAACUUUCCAGAGACAUCAUUGAAUUGGAAGAUCGCCUUUCUGCUAUGCAACUAGAUCUUGACAAAGCGCUAAAAUCCAGAAAUAAGUACCAAACUGAAUUGGAAGACGCUCUAAAUGAAGUUGCUCAGUCACGCAAUCAGCUUGCAACUUUGGACCGUAAAGCUAGAAAGUUCGACCAAGGAAUGGCUGAAGAGAGAGUAGCUCGAGAUAAAGUCGUCGCUGAACGCGAUCAAAUCGCAAGCGAAUGCAGAGAUAAAGAGACUAAAAUUCUAACCCUCCAAAGAGAAGUAGAAGAUGUUGCUGUCAGGAUGAAUGAACUGGACAGAAUAAAUAAAAGACAAAAAUUAGAAUUAGAUGAGAUUAUCUCCAGUAAAGACGCUAAAGGUCAAAACGCUGCUGAAUUAGAACGAAAUAACAGAUUAUUGAAUGAUAAAAUUCAAGAGUUGGAGCAGCUUUUGAUAGAACGAGAAGACGAGGUGCUUCUGGCGGAAGAUGCUAAAUCUAGAAUUGAAGUCACGUACAAUGCUCUCAAACAACAAAUGGAAAGAGAGAGAGCUGCGAAGGAGGAAAGUGAAGAAGACGCUAGACGAGCUCUACUUAGACAAUUAAGAGAUUUGGAAAAUCACUUAGAUGAAGAAAGAAAACAAAAAAAUACAAUUCUUUCUGAAAAAAAGAAAUUAGAAUUCCAACUAAAUAGCAAAGACGAAGCUUUGGAAAAUGCAAUUAGAGGAAGGGAUGAAACUAAUAAAGCUUUGAAACGAGCUUCAGUAACUGCUCAGCAGUAUCAGAAGGAGGCUCAGGAGGCUUUUCAACAAAAGGAUGAAGCUAUCAACAAAUUGAGGCAACUUGAGAGACGAGUUAAGCAACUCGAAGGAGAAUUACAACAAACCAAUGACAUUUUCCAAAAUAUGGAAAGAGUAAAGAAAAUGGCUGAAGCCGAGAGAGAUGAGGCACUGAAUGACUUAGCCACCGUGGAAUCUCUAAAGAAUUCAGCAAUAGAAGAAAAGAAAAAAUUAGAUGGUCGUUUAACGGAACUAGAAGAAGAAUUAGAUGAUGAGCAAAGCCAUUCAGAAGCCCUGGAAGAAAAGUUACGAAAAUUACAGCAACAGGUUGAGCAGAUAACCAGCGAACUUCAGUCAGAACGAGGCAAUGCGCAAAAAAUGGAAGUUGAAUGCGAAAAAUUAGGACGACAGAAUAGAGACUUGAAGUCCAAGAUAGCUGAACUUGAAGACCAAGUGCAGACCAUAAAUCGCACGAAUCGACAACAGCUAGAAGGAAAAAUUGUGACUCUGGAAGGACAAUUGGAUAAAGAACUUCGUGAAAAGACGCUGUUAAGUAGACAGACUCGAAAAGCUGACAAGAAAUUGAAAGAUAUGCAAAUGGCUAUUGACGACGAACGUAGAAUCGCAGAGCAAAUGAAAGAACAAAUGGAACAAGCUAAUAAUAAAGUUAAACUUGUUAAAAGGCAAUUGGCUGAAGGUGAAGAGGAAACUAGUAGAGUAAAUCAACAAAAAAGGAAAAUCCACCGAGAAUUGGACGAGGCAAAUGAAACUAUUCAUAAUCUACAAAUAGAAAACGAAACUUUAAAAGCCAAAUUAAGAAAUGCUAAUCAAGGUCUCUCGGGCGGGGGUGAAAACUGAAGCAGUUAACGACGAAUGGGACGUCACAGCAUAUUAACCUCGCGAGGCAUAGCUGCUCUGGACGAUAGUGAUGAUGGCGAUAUUGAUCAUUCUGUGGCUAGUUCAGAUGGAACUAGCGAUUCUAUGAAAAUAACGCGGUCAACUCCAGAUGAUUCAACGGCUUAAUUCUGCUUGACAUUUAUCUUUUAUAGCUAUUAUCUCAUUCGUAACUUAUGAUUUAGCCUUUCUAAAUAGACUUGAUAACAGAUUUCUAGACGCAAAAUUCCAGCAAUCAUUGCAAGUGCUAAAAAAAAUUACACAUUUAUAUUACCAUGUUGUUACUGCUUUUCUUUCAUUUCGAUACUAUUUCCCUACAUGUCGCUACUGCUGAGAAAAUUGUUAGCAUUGGUUUUCAUAUUUUUCGUAUCUUACAAAUUAUAUACACACCUUUAUAUGAUAGGGCAUAAUACUGUAUUUAUAUUAACAUUUAUUCGUGAAAAGUGAUAUCUAACAGUUAUGAUAUUUUGCUAUUUCUCGUUUCUAAAAACUUUGUGCUUAAAAUCGAAACUAGAUACUAUUUUACUACUUAAACCAACGCGUAUAUUAAUACAAGAUGGACGGACAUGAUAAGUAAAAGUAUACGGGUUAUAAGUCAACGCAUAGCAUUAAGCAAACUUCAAAAGAACACUUGAGGGAUACAAAAAUAUCUACAAUACUAUAAUACAUCCUCUAUUCAGUAUCAAAUCUUGAACAUGAUCAAACUUAUAAAAAUAAAUUAAGGCUAGUUGGCUGGGAACACGAUCACGGUUAAAUGCAUACAAUAUAUUAAAUGCCAGUUAACAGGAAACGAGAUCCAAAGUAAAAAAA